rnacentral:rRNA from 1 species
UACGUAGGGGGCGAGCGUUGUCCGGAUUUAUUGGGCGUAAAGAGCGUGUAGGCGGCCAGGUAGGUCUGCUGUGAAAACUCGAGGCUCAACCUCGAGACGUCGGCGGAAACCAUCUGGCUAGAGUCCGGAAGAGGAGAGUGGAAUUCCUGGUGUAGCGGUGAAAUGCGUAGAGAUCAGCAGGAACACCCGUGGCGAAGGCGGCCCCCUGGGCCGAACCUGACGCUGAGGCGCGAAGGCUAGGGGAGCGAACGGG